GGUUGCUACAGCAACCUGAAUGGUCCCUCUACACAAGAACAAGACGCUUCAAACAAAAACAACCCUAAAAUUGGAAAUGAUCUCCAACUCCUGUCUGAAAGGUCUCCACUGUAAAAACAAAGCACCCCUUUUUUUAAUGUAUAGAUACAUGGAGUACCGUGUGCAGUUCUGCUUUAUAGGAAGGAUGUGAAACAGAAAUUGCUGGAGAAACUCAUCAGCAUCUGUGGAGAGAGAAAGCAGGUUCGAGUCCAGUGACCCCACAUCAGAAUUGACAUCAGCGAGGAAAAUGUGUAUACUGAACCUUGGAGAUAGCAAGAACUGCAGAUGCUGGAGUCAAAGUCAACAUAGUGUGGAGCUGGAGGAACUGGAGCAUGUACAACAGACCACUUUGCUGGAGUCACCUGUGGAUUUUGAAAUGAGGGAGUCCUAGAAUUGAGGAUAUUGAAGGGCCCACUCUACCUGCCAAUACCUGCCUUCCAAGUAAGGUUUGUGUGCCUGUCAGGAGCAGCUAGUGUUCCAUUUUCUAACU